rnacentral:lncRNA from 1 species
AUCAUCAGCUGGAACCCGAUGUUGAGCAUGCCACGGAGACGCGCAGGCGCCAUCUCCGACAGGUACACAGGAACAGACUGCGCCAUUAUACAGUACAUGCAUGCGUACACGUUAGAGAUCAAUUUUCAUUCAUUCAUUCAUUCAUUUAUUAUUACUGGUACUAGCUACUGUACGUAGUUGCCAACCAAUAUCGAUCAUUAGCAUGCAAAAUCUGAACAUCAUAUAAAAUUGAUGCCAAUUGCGAUCAUUCAAGAACACAAAGUUAGGCAUUGCCCUGCAGUUCAGUACUACGUACACUAUUACUCGUCCUGCAUGCAUGCAUAUUCCAUAUGCCGACAUGUUGGACAGGCAAGCAAGCAAGUCAAACAUGUGACGCCACUAUCUAGGCCCGUUGAUUCAUUGACCAUGACCUGAACUCGCAUGUUUAAAGAUAUACUGUAUAUGAUUUUGCAGAAACGUUGCUUCUGUAGAUCCAGUUGUACUGUAUUUUUUCAGUUAAUAUAAAUUAAAGGUUUAAGUAUACUUUUGGGCUACUUUGCGCUUAGAUACAGUUAAUAAUGGUUUUACAGCUAGUUUAAUUUCUAAUUAAUAAGCUGGUUACUGUCUCAUUGUCUGCCCAUCUCUGUUCAUGCAUGUUUCUAGAUGCAAUAAAAUAUCUAUCUUUUCUGUAUACCUAUAUAUAGCAUAUAUAUGUACAUGCACUGAAAAUGACAGUCCAAGCCAAGUCUUUGAAGGAUUCGAUCAGGAUAAAGAAAGCAAUGCCUGCCUGCCUGUGGAAGAAUUCCUUGCAACUUGCAUUGUGUCCAUAUUACUGAUAAUCGAUAAUCAAUCACUUUAACAAACUUUGAUUAGUUUGACGACCGAAAUUCCCAGUAAUAAUGGUUCUAUGAUAGGGGAGGCAGCAGAUAGAAUCUCCCAUCCCACAUGCAGGAUGUUAUGGUCCACCAAAAGUCUGCGUGGUUGAAAUUUGAAGCUGGGAAAUCCCAGGUCCAAAAUUGGCCAAGAUUCAGGAUAUUUUUCACGGCAUCUUUGCAUCGUUUGCGUGGACAGUGAAGUCACAAUCACAGUGCUGUCUGAUGUUAUUUUUUAAAAGCAAAAGGGCAUGGACUGUGCCAUUCAGUUGUUGAGAAGAAAUGAUCAGCAAAGCUAAGGUCAAAUUGAAGGUAGCCAGCAGUAGCUGUGGUUGCAAAUUCAAAUACACUAGUGGUAGGUGGAUGUGUGUUUUUUUAAAUAUAUAUAUUUAUUAUCUGUUGUUAUCCCUCUCCAGGGCUUAACUAGUCUGGUCUGAUCUUAUCUUGUAAUCCAUCCAUAUAUAGGGUCACAUGAAACCAUGGGUUUGAAUGAUCUUUGGAAGGAAAAAGAAGUUUGCUUUUGUUUGAGAGAAAUUAAGUCUUGCACGUGAACCUUGGCGAUGUCGACCGACCUUAGCUUACUGUCACAGCUAGCUAGCCAGCUAACGACGACCAUGGAGUGUAUAUACAGUUAAUGGAUACAACUAUAUACAGUAUAGUGACUAUAGUCUAUGUAACAGCUAUAUCGUUGCUGCCAAUGACAUGAACAUAAUAGUGUCGUUGAAAAUACAAUUAACACUUAGUUAUAUAUAGCUAGCGGCUCUGGUAUAUAUAUAUAUAUAUAUAUAUAUAUAUAUAUACUUGAGAGAUAUAUAUGAUAAACAAAUUAAAUUGUUGGCAACAGGUUGCAAGCAUAGUAAAGGGGUCAAGCUCAGCAACUAGCCGAGCUGAGAGCGAGGCCAAGGAGGAGGACAAUCAACAAGCAAAGGUAGCAAGAGCCAAGAAACCGGCGGCAAGCUAGCAUAGUGACGAUGUGAACAAGCUAGGUGGCAGAUAAACAUACAGAAGAGUCAACUUGCAUCAUUGCAUGGUAUACAAGUAAAAACAUCUUCAAUUUGUCUCUCUCUCUCUCUCUCUCUCAAGGAAAUUAAAAAGAAGAAGAGAAGAAAAGUAAACAUCCAUCUUUGAAUUGUGUUGGUACCUAGCUUGGACUUUGGGAAGCAUGCAUGCAUAUGCUUCCAGCGGUGUAUGAGGACAAUGGAGAUAAACUAUUAUAUACACAUGAACCUUGAUUGUUGUCAAAUAAACUAGCUUACUAGCUUGGACUUUGCACAUGCACGUUAUGUAGUAUGUAUAUAUGUAUAUAUACAACUUGCUAUAUUAUUAUAAUUAUUUAUUUGUUGAACUACUAGUACUGUUAGUAUACAUGCAUAUACAUAUAUAUAUAUAUAUAUAUAUGUGUAUAGUUUUCGUUGGUUAACUGGCACCUAAUGAAGAGAAUCUCAUGUCGAUCAUCUUUUCAAAACUCAAGCAACCCUUCUUGGACAGCUAUGUAUAUAUGUCCUUAUCAUGUACGCAAGAUCAUUGACGAAUCGCUACGGCCUCGCUAGCUCUUACGUAGCUGUCACUACCGCUAGUCACGACACGGUAGAAUGAAGAGAUUAUUUAUGGUGUAACAUUGUUAAUUAUCAUAUACUUAUGCAUAUACUCUUGUAUAUAAAUUA